rnacentral:rRNA from 1 species
GGUUGAGAUCAUACCAGCACUAAUGCACCGGAUCCCAUCAGAACUCCGCAGUUAAGCGUGCUUGAGCGAGAGUAGUACUAGGAUGGGUGACCCCCUGGGAAGUCCUCGUGUUGCAACCC